GCUCUGGUAGCUCAGCUGGUAGAGCAUGAGACCCUUAAUCUCAGGGUUGUGGGUUCGAGCCCCAUGUUGGGCA